AGGCCAGACUCCUACGGGAGGCAGCAGUGGGGAAUAUUGGGCAAUGGAGGCAACUCUGACCCAGCAACGCCGCGUGAAUGAAGAAGGCCUUCGGGUUGUAAAGUUCUUUAAUUGGGGACGAAGGAAAUGACGGUACCCAAAGAAUAAGCCACGGCUAACUACGUGCCAGCAGCCGCGGUAAUACGUAGGGGGCAAGCGUUAUCCGGAAUUACUGGGUGUAAAGGGAGCGUAGACGGUGAAGUAAGUCUGGAGUGAAAGGCGGGGGCCCAACCCCCGGACUGCUCUGGAAACUAUUUGACUGGAGUGCAGGAGAGGUAAGCGGAAUUCCUAGUGUAGCGGUGAAAUGCGUAGAUAUUAGGAGGAACACCAGUGGCGAAGGCGGCUUACUGGACUGUAACUGACGUUGAGGCUCGAAAGCGUGGGGAGCAAACAGGAUUAGAUACCCUAGUAGG
rnacentral:rRNA from 1 species